AUACGGAGGGUGCAAGCGUUAAUCGGAAUUACUGGGCGUAAAGCGCGCGUAGGUUGUCUAGUAAGUCAGAUGUGAAAGCCCCGGGCUCAACCCGGGAACUGCAUCUGAAACUGCUAGGCUAGAGUAUGGUAGAGGAUAGCGGAAUUCCAGGUGUAGCGGUAAAAUGCGUAGAUAUCUGGAGGAACAUCAGUGGCGAAGGCGGCUAUCUGGACCAAUACUGACGCUGAGGCCCGAAAGCGUGGGGAGCAAACAGGAUUAGAAACCCCAGUAGUCC
rnacentral:rRNA from 1 species